AGCGGCGGAUGGGUGAGUAACACGUGGGGAACCUGCCCCUAAGUCUGGGAUACCAUUUGGAAACAGGUGCUAAUACCGGAUAAUAAAGCAGAUCGCAUGAUCAGCUUUUGAAAGGCGGCGUAAGCUGUCGCUAAGGGAUGGCCCCGCGGUGCAUUAGCUAGUUGGUAAGGUAACGGCUUACCAAGGCGACGAUGCAUAGCCGAGUUGAGAGACUGAUCGGCCACAUUGGGACUGAGACACGGCCCAAACUCCUACGGGAGGCAGCAGUAGGGAAUCUUCCACAAUGGACGCAAGUCUGAUGGAGCAACGCCGCGUGAGUGAAGAAGGUUUUCGGAUCGUAAAGCUCUGUUGUUGGUGAAGAAGGAUAGAGGUAGUAACUGGCCUUUAUUUGACGGUAAUCAACCAGAAAGUCACGGCUAACUACGUGCCAGCAGCCGCGGUAAUACGUAGGUGGCAAGCGUUGUCCGGAUUUAUUGGGCAUAAAGCGAGCGCAGGCGGAAAAAUAAGUCUAAUGUGAAAGCCCUCGGCUUAACCGAGGAACUGCAUCGGAAACUGUUUUUCUUGAGUGCAGAAGAGGAGAGUGGAACUCCAUGUGUAGCGGUGGAAUGCGUAGAUAUAUGGAAGAACACCAGUGGCGAAGGCGGCUCUCUGGUCUGCAACUGACGCUGAGGCUCGAAAGCAUGGGUAGCGAACAGGAUUAGAUACCCUGGUAGUCCAUGCCGUAAACGAUGAGUGCUAAGUGU
rnacentral:rRNA from 1 species